rnacentral:rRNA from 1 species
UAGGGAAUCUUCCACAAUGGACGCAAGUCUGAUGGAGCAACGCCGCGUGAGUGAAGAAGGUUUUCGGAUCGUAAAGCUCUGUUGUUGGUGAAGAAGGAUAGAGGUAGUAACUGGCCUUUAUUUGACGGUAAUCAACCAGAAAGUCACGGCUAACUACGUGCCAGCAGCCGCGGUAAUACGUAGGUGGCAAGCGUUUUCCGGUUUUAUUGGGCGUAAAGGGAGCGCAGGGUGAAGAAUAAGUCUGAUGUGAAAGCCCUCGGCUUAACCGAGGAACUGCAUCGGAAACUGUUUUUCUUGAGUGCAGAAGAGGAGAGUGGAAUUCCAUGUGUAGCGGUGGAAUGCGUAGAUAUAUGGAAGAACACCAGUGGCGAAGGCGACUCUCUGGUCUGCAACUGACGCUGAGGCUCGAAAGCAUGGGUAGCGAACAGG